rnacentral:rRNA from 1 species
CGUUGCCUACGGCGCAGCAGUGGGGAAUAUUGCACAAUGGGGGAAACCCUGAUGCAGCGACGCCGCGUGAGUGAAGAAGUAUUUCGGUAUGUAAAGCUCUAUCAGCAGGGAAGAAGAAAGACGGUACCUGACUAAGAAGCCCAGGCUAACUACGUGCCAGCAGCCGCGGUAAUACGUAGGGGGCAAGCGUUAUCCGGAUUUACUGGGUGUAAAGGGAGCGUAGACGGCUGUGCAAGUCUGAAGUGAAAGCCCAGGGCUCAACCCUGGGACUGCUUUGGACACUGUGUAGCUAGAGUGCU